AUUGAACGCUGGCGGCAGGCCUAACACAUGCAAGUCGAACGAGUGGCGGACGGGUGAGUAAUGUCUGGGAAACUGCCUGAUGGAGGGGGAUAAAUACUGGAAACGGUAGCUAAUACCGCAUACCCUCAGAUGUGCCCAGAUGGGAUUAGCUUGUUGGUGGGGUAACGGCUCACCAAGGCGACGAUCCCUAGCUGGUCUGAGAGGAUGACCAGCACAACUGGAACUGAGACACGGGCCAGACUCCUACGGGGGGCAGCAGGGGGGAAUAUGGCACAAGGGGCGCAAGCCGGAUGCGGCCAUGCCGCGUGUAUGAAGAAGGCCUUCGGGUUGUAAAGUACUUUCAGCGGGGAGGCGUUACCCGCAGAAGAAGCACCGGCUAACUCCGUGCCAGCACCGCGGUAAUUC
rnacentral:rRNA from 1 species